UACGAAGGGGGCUAGCGUUGCUCGGAAUCACUGGGCGUAAAGCGCACGUAGGCGGAUUGCUAAGUCAGGGGUGAAAUCCUGGAGCUCAACUCCAGAACUGCCUUUGAUACUGGCGAUCUUGAGUCCGGGAGAGGUGAGUGGAACUGCGAGUGUAGAGGUGAAAUUCGUAGAUAUUCGCAAGGACACCAGUGGCGAAGGCGGCUCACUGGCCCGGUACUGACGCUGAGGUGCGAAAGCGUGGGGAGCAACAGGGAUUAAG
rnacentral:rRNA from 1 species